CUGACAGUGGUGGCGCGCUGCCACUUUAAAGGUGCAUGGAUUUCUCUGACCUUAUAUUCCUCAGGAUCAGAAGAACCCAGGGAGAAUGGGUUAUGUCACAAUGGGAGGUGAGGUUGGGAAAACAGUGCUUGCCUCACAGUGCUCCCCAAAGCCACCUUUGGUUCCAGGUGUAGACCAGUGUCGGCUCCCACUGGCUGCAAGAAUUUCUGUGGUUUGCAUCUGGGAAGGAGCGAUCGGCAGGAGGGCAGGAUUUGGGCAGCUGCUUGCCCACCCUUCAGCCUCAGAUGGACUUCGAUCCAGGAAUGGCACAGCAUCCAUCCAGGAGGAUAUGGGUCUUUUCCCCAUGGGCUAGUCAACAGUAGGAACUCAGAAAUGUUUGGAGGAUAACCAUGUGCACGAGUAAAUGAAAAGCUGCUUGGGAAGUCACCAGUGCAAACCAGACGCCAUCAUCAUAAUCAGUGGGCAUAAUGGCUGCAUUUCAUGGGCUGAGAUUGGCCAUAAAGAAGACCUCUUAGGGGGAGACAUAUUAAAGUCUGGG
rnacentral:lncRNA from 1 species